ACCACGUUUGGGUUUUGGCAUCCUACAGAAAGGUGGUGUGUGCUUGCGCAAGAGCAUUCACUGUGCACUGUUUGCCUUUGCUCUUUCUUCAUCCUCUGUCCCCUGCUCACCUCCAGAUGGUACUGACAGCAGGCAUGUGGUACCCUCAGGAGGGAAAGCAGAGGCCAGGGAGGUGAAGCCACUUCUUCAGGGUCAGAUAUUGAACAGCAAGAUGGAGAGCUCAGCCCUGUCUGAGGGGACUCCAUCAUGUGGGGUUGUAGGGAGUCCCCUGAGGGAGGAUGUGGUCUGACAGCAAGGGCUUAAAGCACAGCUUGGAGUCUCUGCCCCUUCCUCUCCUCUACUUGCAACUCAUUUUCUAGACUAUCAGUCACCCACCUCUUUGGGCUAACUCUGCCAGGCUCCUCCCACUGAUCCAGGAACCCAAGUACAAGUCUCUACUCCAGGAACCACUGCCAAGGAGAUCAUUACUCAUUAACUCUGGGGAGCAGAAAGAAGAAAUAUACCCUUUUCCUUGACUUCCUUUUGGACUAUCUUCCUGAAAGCAAAAAACCUGUGAAUAUUCAUCACUUUUAGUUUAAUUCAUAGGGCACUCUCAGAUGGAAGGCUGAAGUAAUUAGCAGGUACUGACAUACUGUCAAAAAUGAACACUUUGCCAGUCAUAAAAUCACAGAAUCCCAGCCUCGUUUGGGUUAGAAGGGACCUUAAAGCUCCUCCAGUUCCAACCCCUGCCAUGGGCAGGGACCCCUUCCACUAGAGCAGCUUGCUCCAAGCCCCUGUGUCCAACCUGGCCUUGAACACUGCCAGGGAUGGGGCAGCCACAGCUUCUCUGGGCACCCUGUGCCAGCGCCUCAGCACCCUCACAGGGAAGAGCUUCUGCCUAAGAGCUCAUCUAAAUGAAAUGAACACUUUUCCAAGCUGUGUGUACCCAAUUGAAGCACAGCAGCAAAAGAUGUAAAUGUUUGGAAAAGACAUUUAUGGGUUUUAAAGAAGCAUAGAUUUUUCACCAAACAGUUUCAGACUGCUAGCUCUGAGUUUACAGUCUUUCUCUCUGCACCUCGAAGUGGGAAGGUAGAGCUUAAAAAAUGUGAAAUAAUGAGAACUAAGCCCAGAAUGGAGAAAGUGAGUGUAUAUGUGCUAAUUUACACCAGCUAAGGAUUUGGCUUUCAGCUCCUAUAAAUUAUCUGAUUACACAAGUUAUUGUUGUGGGCUUGGUUUUGUUUCGUUUCUAUCUCUAUGUCCACUGUUCUGGGAUUUGACAGCAUUGCAACAUCUCCAACUAGAAGCCUGUCAAAAAGCCUGCUGACAAAAGCUUUGUUGCGGUCCAUGUUACAUCUACAACGUCACUGAAAUAUAACCUAGCUGUUGUGACUAGAGAGGUGCCUGACAGUGCCUUGCAUAAGCCAAAGCAUCUCUUUAGCAUUUGAAGGUAAAGGUCUACACAAAAUGAAAA